UCCCCCGUCUCGGUUUGGAGCACGAAACUCUGCUGUCUGCUGGGCUGCAGAGUCUGCAAGCUUCCUUCCAAUCAGUAGCCAGGUUUGGCCUUGAUAAUAAGCUUUGUGCAGCAAUCAUUGACUUCGGUUAAGGACCUAAGUACUGAAAGUCACAGAAAACCUGCAGAUUCUGCAGUCCUCUUGGACUGCGGUUUCAUUUUCCUGUUAUACAGUCUGGGUUUAGAGACCGGUGAAGAUUUCCCUUCACCUUGAAUUAGGCCUGCUGGAUGCCUGUUGGGUCAGAAUCUCUCGCCCAGUUCAAAUGGAGCCCAACCAAAAUACAUACAUAAAUGUAGACUAAAUGAUUUAUUUGCAGACAUUGUCAUUUAGACUCGUCACAGCAGAUAAAUUCUGACUCCGCCUCUAUCCUCUGUCCACCCCCCCCCCCCCCCUUCCCCUCAGCCCUUUCUCGUCAAAUACAGUCAACGAUGACGCAAUUCGAAAACAAAACUGACCUGCCAUUUUAGUUCAGGGAAGGCCUGCCAUGGACUGUUUGCAAGCCUGGAGUUUGAGUAUACUAGUAUCAGGGUUCGAACGAACAAUGCUAGUUUGAAGCACGGUUUGACAGCUCAGAGAGCGAUCUGUGUGGACUCGUUUAGGUGAUUUUGAGGGACUUGCUUGAUGUUAGGUCUGCAGAGCCCAUGUCAUAAAGGGGCGAUUAACAGAAUAACCAGCGACUCUCGACAGUGCAGU